rnacentral:rRNA from 1 species
GCAUAACGCGAAGAACCUUACCAGGUCUUGACAUCCUCUGACAACCCUAGAGAUAGGGCGUUCUCCUUCGGGAGGCAGAGUGACAGGUGGUGCAUGGUUGUCGUCAGCUCGUGUCGUGAGAUGUUGGGUUAAGUCCCGCAACGAGCGCAACCCUUGUCGUUAGUUGCUACCAUUAAGUUGAGCACUCUAACGAGACUGCCGGGGUUAACUCGGAGGAAGGUGGGGAUGGACGUCAAAUCAUCAUGCCCCUUAUGUCCUGGGCUACGACACGUGCUACAAUGGCCGGUACAAAAACGGAAGACAAUACCGCGAGGUGGAGCAAAUCUACUAAAACCGGUCCCAAGUUCGGAUUGCAGGCUGCAACUCGCCUGCAUGAAGCUGGAUUGGCUAGUAAUCGUGAAUCAGAAUGUCACGG